rnacentral:lncRNA from 1 species
GCUACAUACAGUAGAGAGGCUAUAUACAGUAGAGAGGCUAUAUACAGUAGACAGGCUAUAUACAGUAGAGAGGCUACAUACAGUAGAGAGGCUAUAUACAGUAGACAGGCUAUAUACAGUAGAGAGGCUAUAUACAGUAGACAGGCUAUAUACAAUAGACAGGCUAUAUACAGUAGAGGCUAUAUACAGUAGAGAGGCUAUAUACAGUAGAGAGGCUAUAGACAGUAGAGAGGCUAUAGACAGUAGAGAGGCUAUAUACAGUAGAGAGGCUACAUACAGUAGAGGCUAUAUACAGUAGAGAGGCUACAUACAGUAGAGAGGCUAUAUACAGUAGAGGCUAUAUACAGUAGAGAGGAUAUAUACAGUAGAGAGGCUAUAUACAGUAGAGGCUAUAUACAGUAGAGAGGCUAUAUACAGUAGAGGCUAUAUACAGUAGAGGCUAUAUACAGUAGAGGCUAUAUACAGUAGAGAGGCUAUAUACAGUAGAGGCUAUAUACAGUAGAGAGGCUACAUACAGUAGAGGCUAUAUACAGUAGAGGCUAUAUACAGUAGAGAGGCUAUAUACAGUAGAGAGGCUAUAUACAGUAGAGAGGCUAUAUACAGUAGAGAGGCUAUAUACAGUAGAGAGGCUAUAUACAGUAGAGAGGUUAUAUACAGUAGAGAGGCUAUAUACAGUAGAGAGGUUAUAUACAGUAGAGAGGCUAUAUACAGUAGAGGUUAUAUACAGUAGAGAGGCUAUAUACAGUAGAGAGGCUACAUACAGUAGAGAGGCUACAUACAGUAGAGAGGCUAUAUACAGUAGAGAGGCUACAUACAGUAGAGAGGCUAUAUACAGUAGAGAGGCUAUAUACAGUAGAGAG